UACGUAGGGGGCAAGCGUUGUCCGGAAUUAUUGGGCGUAAAGAGCUCGUAGGCGGCUUGUCACGUCGGCUGUGAAAACCCGGGGCUCAACCCCGGGCCUGCAGUCGAUACGGGCAAGCUAGAGUUCGGCAGGGGAGACUGGAAUUCCUGGUGUAGCGGUGAAAUGCGCAGAUAUCAGGAGGAACACCGGUGGCGAAGGCGGGUCUCUGGGCCGAUACUGACGCUGAGGAGCGAAAGCGUGGGGAGCGAACAGG
rnacentral:rRNA from 1 species